AAAGCGCGCGUAAGUGGUUUGUUAAGUUGGAUGUGAAAGCCCCGGGCUCAACCUGGGAACUGCAUCCAAAACUGGCAAGCUAGAGUAUGGUAGAGGGUGGUGGAAUUUCCUGUGUAGCGGUGAAAUGCGUAGAUAUAGGAAGGAACACCAGUGGCGAAGGCGACCACCUGGACUGAUACUGACACUGAGGUGCGAAAGCGUGGGGAGCAAACAGGAUUAGAUACCCUUGU
rnacentral:rRNA from 1 species